UGAAUCCUCUUCUUUACAUGAAGCCUUUAAGUUGACGUUCUUGCAGACAACCGGGAUUUGACAAAGAAAUCAAAUUGCCGGAGACAUUGGUGCUGGAAGCGGCUCUCGGCCUGCCCACCGUGCUGCCCUGGAGGGGUGGUGCCAGCAUACAAGACCUGGUCUGGCUCCAUGAGUGUGGCCAAGUUGAACUGACAUCCCACCCAAGGCCCCCUGGCUCUCCAUGAUUCUUACGGGAGGACGUGGGUUCAGGUGUGGAAUGAGCGCCAGUGGCAGGCGGCCCACCCAGUUCCUGUUUCUUGAGAUUGUGUUACCGGGAAAGGAUUUGACUUUGAAAACAAGCGCAGCAGCCAUCUGCUAAUAAAAGGA